rnacentral:rRNA from 1 species
UUGACCUCGGAUCAUGUAG